rnacentral:lncRNA from 1 species
ACUGUCGAUGAGCCAGUAAUACCUGGUUAGAAGAGUAAGGAUUCAGCUUUUAUUAUCAGGGCUCUCUUAUGAUCAUCAGUCCACCAACAGUUCACUGAAGCCAUACAGAAUGAAGCCAUAGAAGAGUCAUUAUGAGUCAACAAGGAGCAGACCUCAGAUUUAUUACAGAGAGCCAAAGAAGGAGAUGAUGUUUGUUUUCGCUCAAGAGCUUCCCUUCCACAAUCUGAAUGGGAACCACAGGGAGAAAGGAGGGCAUGAGAAGGAGCAGAUUUUGACUCCCAUCAUGCUCCAGGCUGCUCUCCCUCUGUUUAGUUUGCACUGGUGGGUUGUGGGGAAUUGAUGCUGAGAAAGGAAAGCUUUGAAAAAAAUGAAAAUUUGAAAUAUGAAACAAAAUGACAAUUUUGUAAGAUCUAAAAGUAUCUGUUUCAAUAAUCUUAACUACCUGAAAUGUAUAGAACUAAACUGAGAUGCCAUUAAGGAACUCAGCUACCCAGUGGUAAAGCUGGUAAAGCUGGGAGGAUUGAUGGAACAUUGCUAGUAGCCAUUACUGGAGAAGUAACAACCUUUUUUCGUAUUCUCGGCACCAGCUGGACAAUGCCAUCGCCAUCCCCCCAGAGAGUAGCCUCGAAAGUCUGGAGAUGAUGCAAAGACCAGCCCUGAAGAGGAUGCCAUGUAUGUUGAUGUUUUCCAUCUUCAGGUUUUACCUGUCUCCUGUUCUCAUUGCUUCUGGAUCAAUAAUUAAGAUUGACUCUACAUGGCCCAAAUGAAGAAAUGAAAGGAAAUGGAUCAUUCACCAAAGGAUCUGCAGAACUUUGCUAAUAUUUACCAGAAGUAACCAGUAGGAUAUUCAAGUGAGUGCUUCUUAAAAACACAUUAGAGCAGGGGUAUGCAAAUAAAAGGCCGUAUUAGGGAGAGUGAAUUUAUAUGGAAAGAGACUCUUUUAUGACUCAGGAUUUAAUUUCCUGGUAAGGAUGCCAGAAAUGGAAAUUUGAAUCCUGAAGAUUGGAUGGCUUACAGUAAAUGAGUGGACCUGCUAGAACAGUCUUGGCAGAGUAUUUAGACAGAGGUCAGAAGCACAGAGAUAUAGGCAUGAUAGAAUAGAUUUAGUAUAUAAGGCCAGAGAAAAGGCCCAGAAAACUCCUUUCACUAAGGGAACGAGGAAUAUGCUAGUGAGUACUGCAACUUCAGAAAGGUUGGUGGUGACAGUCCACCAUAGCCCAGAAUGUAUUCUGACAGAUAUAGCUAUGAACCCAUGCUUACUGGUGUAAAUGUGAAUGAUAAUAUUCUGGUAAAGCAGAGGACAAGUGGUAGCAUCUCACCUUGUCAGAAACAAGUUGGGUUUAAUUCCAGCAUGUGUAGCAAGCCUGAAACAGCAAUCAAGGACCUUACUUAUAGGGAUCUGUAGCAGUGGCUAAUAAACUAUGGUAUUCCUAGGGGCCAGAUAGGCAGCCAAUAAAGAUAUUGGAUUGGAUUAUAGAUGUCAAAUGGAUAGAGUUGUUCAGGAGAAGAAUCAUGAUGGCAGCUAUAAGAGGAAAUCAUGAUUCCUUUCCCAGUUUCUGUACCUAGGAUAAUUCCUAGACAAUAAGAUCAUCCAUUGAAAAAGAGACUGGAUCUUCUUGAGGAACGAUCCUGCA